AGGAGCCGUGUGAGGUGAAAAUCUCACGCACGGUUUUGCAGACCAAUGAAUUUGGUAACAAAUUCAUUGAGUUCAU
rnacentral:ncRNA from 1 species